UCCUAGCCUAACUUUUGCUUUUUGAUGCAUAC
rnacentral:piRNA from 1 species